rnacentral:rRNA from 1 species
UACGAAGGGGGCGAGCGUUGUUCGGAUUUACUGGGCGUAAAGGGCGCGCAGGCGGCGAUCCAAGUCAGGCGUGAAAGCCCCGGGCUUAACCUGGGAGGUGCGUCUGGGACUGGGUGGCUAGAGUUCGGGAGAGGAGAGUGGAAUUCCAGGUGUAGCGGUGAAAUGCGUAGAUAUCUGGAGGAACACCGGUGGCGAAGGCGGCGUUCUGGACUGUCUCUGACACUGAAGAACGAAAGCCAGGGGAGCAAACGGG